CACACACCAUUGGCAGACACACACACACACAGAGUUACAGAGUUGGUGGUUGUGCCGCCCUGAGCCUCCAGUCAGCGAGUGUGAGGAAGGGACCAGAUGGGUCAGGCAGAAAGGUGCUGGGUCAAGGGAAGAGGGGGCAGCCGGGGGCGCGCGCGCGCUCUGGACUCGUGCACCCGCCGAAACGGAUGCGCGCGGGGCACGCUGGGUUGAAGGGUGAAGGGCGAGGGGGACAGGGACCGGGACGGGGGCAGCCCUUUCCCAGGCGGUAGCGGGGCCGGUGGUGCUGUUGCCCUUUUAAGCUGUGGCUUGACAGGAGCCGCGCCUCCCGUCGGUGGAGUCGGUUACAAUGGGAGCAGCCCCACAGGCCUCCACAUAGCUCCCGCCAAGUCCUCCUCCGUGCCCCUUGCCAUUUUCCAGCCGCGCUCCCACGAGGCUCGAGGAGGCGGGGAGAGGCGGAGCUGGGAGAGCUCUGUAGGGCGGCCCCGCGGGUGGUCGCGGCCGUGACAGCGGCUCCGGACAGUCUCCGGUUCCGCGCCUCUCUGGCCGGAGAUGAGGGGAAGAUGUCCGUGUCCCGGCUCAAGGCCAAACUGAAGUUGCUGGCAUCUGUCUUCCACAAGGACCCGGAGCCCGCCCCCGCCGGCUCACGCUCCCCUGCAACAUGACGAAUGGGGCAACAGAGGAAGUGACUUCAGAAGAAGAGGAAGAAGAGGAGAUGGCUGAAGUCGGAGAAGAACGACAUUUCGGCCGGGCGCGGUGGCUCAAGCCUGUAAUCCCAGCACUUUGGGAGGCUGAGACAGGCGGAUCACGAGGAUAUAGAAGACUGAGACCACUGUGAGAUGAAAGAAGAGCCUAUUAGUGGGAAAAAGUUAGAGGAUGAAGGAAUUGAAAAAGAUAAUUUGGCAAUAUUAGAGAAAAUUAGGAAGACUGAAAGGGUUGACCCUGAUAGUCCUUUGCACAGUGAUCAUCAGAUCUUAAAAGAAAAAGAAGGCUUGGGAGAUAUUUUGCUGAACUUACCUUUUAAGCAGGAACCCUUUGGAGACAAAGAGCAGUAAGAAUGUGGAACACAUAUUGACAAAAUGAAGGUAAUUUAAAACAGUAGUAGAGUCGACCACUUUCCGGUGUCACUGCUGCUGACACUGUGUAUUAAGAAAAUUUACUUACCUUACUUUUGAUGGAGGUGCU
ensembl:lncRNA